UAGUGAUGAGGAUCCGUCACAGAGGAAUAAUUAUCAUCUUCAGGUGGGGUGAAAAGAUAUGCUCUUAAAGUUAGGGUACCCGAAGCUAAUAUUGGAAGAAUCUUGGUGAUUGUAUGGAAGAGAAAAAAAAAAUCACCGGUUAAGAAGUAAAGCCAAAUCGGAACGAAUAAUGUUGUAAGUUGAACCAGUGUCAAUCAUUGACCGAUAUUUAUGCUCUAAGAUAUCCAAUUCGAUAAACGGUAUAGCGUUUUGGUAUUUGAAUUCGCACUUGUGGGAAAGGGAAGCAAAUAAUUUCCGCUGUUGAGGUGAAUUAUCGGAAUUGCUUCGAGAUUCCUUCAAUUGUCAACUAUGUUUUGGGUUUUCUCGCGAGAUCGCAUUCUUUAGUCGAUUUGCAUUUUCAUCAGCGCGUUUGGCAAUUUGGUAUAAUUGUUCGAAUGUCGUAGGUUGGGGGAAGAUGGUUGCUAACAAUGGUAGGUAUUCCGAAUUUGCACUGUCAAGGAUGUGCGUCACGAUGCGCGUUUCGUCGUGAAGGUUUAGGACCUUAGCGGUGAUCUCCAAAUCGUAAGUGAAUUGCUUGAGAGAUUCAUUGGAGUUUUGGUACCUGAAGAUUUUUUCUAGUUGAAUCCUUGACAUUUGGGUGGGGGACAAGAAUUUUAUCAGAAGUUCACUUUUAAUGUGGUCCCAGGUGUUAGUGGGGGUUGCUAGUCUAGAUAGCCAUAGUUGUAAUUCACCCUCCGUUUGUGUAACUAAUCCUUUAAUGAGUUUAGGUAGUGGCAUAAUGUUCAAAUUAACAAUAUUCUCCACUUUUAUUAGGAAAUCUAUGAAGAUGGAUGGGUUAUCGCCGUCUGCUCUUGGUAGAUUUUGGCACAAUUGGGUCAUAUCUGGUUUGAAGUUGGGACCCGAUAGGUUCUUAAUUUGUUUUUGAGUAUCCAAUAGAAGUUGAUUAUGGAUGGCCAAUAAUUGUGUUAGACUGUCCCUGUGAGCGGUCCUUUGGUUGGGAGCCACGAGAUUCGGCACGUUGUUAUUUGAAAUGCUUUGUUGAUUAUUGAAAUUGGGAAGGUUAAAGUUAUUAAAAUUUUGAGCAUUCGAGUCAUGAUUAAUAUUUAAAUUUGGGUUAGUUAAAUUAUGACCAGAAAUGUUAAAAUUAUUAUUUUGUGGCGGCUGUGUAGUACCAGCGUUAUAAAAACUUGUGUUAUAAGCAGGUGGGUUGAAUAAGUUUUGCGCCUGGUUGUCAAUAAUUGGUGCCGAAGGUCGUGGUCCAAGUGUGAGACCUGAAGAUGGGGGAGGGGUUGGAUUGAAACUAAGAGCUCGUGUUCUGAUUGGUGACAAUCUACCGUCCGGGUGUAUAUUGUAAAGGAUUUGGUUAAAGGGUACCUGGUGUCUUACAGUUGAUGGUGUUGUAGGUAGACGUGGAGAUGAAGCUACUGCUGCUGCUCCAUAUCCGCUGGCAUUAUGUAGGAACGAUGGUGGCACGGUGCGGGGAAUGGCGCCGUUGUUGUUGUUAGAUUGCAUCUUCAAUUGUUGUUAAAUACUGAUUUGAGUUGUAUAACUAUCGUUUUAUUGUCUAUACUAAUGGUGUUUGUUUCCGAUUUCAGAUGAAUAGCAGUUGGUAUCUUGAUAAUGAAUUUGAAAUGCAAUUUGUCCUGUAAAAUGAAAAAAACCAGCAGAAAUACGAGUAGAAUAAGUUUGUAUGUGUACAGGAUAAAGUGAAUAAAUAAAAAGAUGAGUUUGAGAAGAA